rfam:Mycobacterium noviomagense strain DSM 45145 NODE_77_length_13462_cov_9.46208, whole genome shotgun sequence.
CAAGCACCUCGCUAGGUGAGGCGUCUGCAGGGAUACAGGCCACUGACCCCGAACGUCGAGAGACGCCCAGGGUCAGGACAGCUCCUCCCGGCUUAAGGGUUGAGCCCAAGUGGCUUCCGGAUCUUCCGGAUACGCCUUGCAGUGCCAAAGCUCAGACGAGAGGGGUGCCGC